rfam:Triticum aestivum genome assembly, contig: Triticum_aestivum_CS42_TGACv1_scaffold_113496_2AS
UUUCAACUCCCUCUGUCCGAAAAUAAUUUUCAUCAAAAUGGAUAAAAAUAGAUGUAUCUAAAACUAAAAUACGUCUAGACACAUUUCCUUUUAUCCAUUUUGAUGACAAGUAUUUCCGGACGGAGGGAGUAUUUG